rnacentral:rRNA from 1 species
UACGUAGGGGGCAAGCGUUGUCCGGAAUCAUUGGGCGUAAAGCGCGUGUAGGCGGUUCAGUAAGUCUGCUGUGAAAGUCCAGGGCUCAACCCUGGGAUGCCGGUGGAUACUGCUGGGCUAGAGUACGGAAGAGGCGAGUGGAAUUCCCGGUGUAGCGGUGAAAUGCGCAGAUAUCGGGAGGAACACCAAUUGCGAAGGCAGCUCGCUGGGACGUUACUGACGCUGAGACGCGAAAGCGUGGGGA